CCUACGGGAGGCAGCAGUGAGGAAUAUUGGUCAAUGGACGAGCGUCUGAACCAGCCAAGUAGCGUGAAGGAUGACUGCCCUAUGGGUUGUAACCUUCUUUUAUAUGGGAAUAAACUGUUCCACGUGUGGGAUUUUGUAUGUACCAUAUGAAUAAGGAUCGGCUAACUCCGUGCCAGCAGCCGCGGUAAUCCGGAGGAUACGAGCGUUAAACGGAUUUAUUGGGUGUAAAGGGAGCGUAGGUGGAUUGUUAAGUCAGUUGUGAAAGUUUGCGGCUCAACCGUAAAAUUGCAGCUGAAACUGGCAGUCUAGAGUACAGUAGAGGUGGGCGGAAUUCGAGGUGUAGCGGUGAAAUGCUUAGAUAUCACGAAGAACUCCGAUUGCGAAGGCAGCUCACUGGACUGCAACUGACACUGAGGCUCGAAAGUGUGGGUAUCAAACAGGAUUAGAUACCCUGGUAGUC
rnacentral:rRNA from 1 species